AUUGAACGCUGGCGGCAGGCCUAACACAUGCAAGUCGAGCGGAGCGGCGGACGGGUGAGUAAUGCCUAGGAAUCUGCCUGGCAGUGGGGGAUAACGUCAGGAAUCGGGCGCUAAUACCGCAUCCUAACAGAUUAGCCUAGGUCGGAUUAGCGAGUUGGGGGGGUAAAGGCCUACCAAUGGGACGAUCCGUAACUGGUCUGAGAGGAUGAUCAGUCACACUGGAACUGAGACACGGUCCAGCCUCCUACGGGAGGCAGCAGUGGGAAAUAUUGGACAAUGGGCGAAAGCCUGAUCCAGCCAUGCCGCGGGUGUGAGGAAGGUCUUCGGAUUGUAAAGCACUUUAAGUUGGGAGGCGUUACCAACAGAGUAAGCACCGGCUAACUACGUGCCAGCAGCCGCGGUAAUUC
rnacentral:rRNA from 1 species